rnacentral:rRNA from 1 species
GAUGAACGCUGGCGGCGUGCCUAAUACAUGCAAGUCGAGCGAAUGGAUUAAGAGCUUGCUCUUAUGAAGUUAGCGGCGGACGGGUGAAUAACACGUGGGUAACCUGCCCAUAAGACUGGGAUAACUCCGGGAAACCGGGGCUAAUACCGGAUAACAUUUCGAACCGCAUGGAUCGAAAUUGAAAGGCGGCUUCGGCUGUCACUUAUGGAUGGACCCGCGUCGCAUUAGCUAGUUGGUAAGGUAACGGCUCACCAAGGCAGCGAUGCGUAGCCGACCUGAGAGGGUGAUCGGCCACACUGGGACUGAGACACGGCCCAGACUCCUACGGGAGGCAGCAGUAGGGAAUCUUCCGCAAUGGACGAAAGUCUUACGGAGCAACGCCGCGUGAGUGAUGAAGGCUUUCGGGUCGUAAAACUCUGUUGUUAGGGAAGAACAAGUGCUAGUUGAAUAAGCUGGCACCUUGACGGUACCUAACCAGAAAGCCACGGCUAACUACGUGCCAGCAGCCGCAGUAA